rnacentral:piRNA from 1 species
UGGCCCCUCAUUUCUUUCCAUCAUGCAG